CUCCAGCAACUUUAAUACUCUAUGAGAGACUACAAAGGUCUUGAGCGUGCAAUGCACACUUCAAAGCCUUUGAGUUCUUCCAAAAAAUAUACCUCUUGAGCCUGCAGAUUGGGUAGCGCAGACUGCAAACUUCAAAGGUCUCUAUCUUUAUUCUAAAUAUUUUAAUGCUGUCAAUCAAUCAUGGAAUUUGGAAGAACUCCCAACGUCAGAAAAGAUGGUUCAAUACUUCAAUUUUGAGAAGAAAAACCUAAUUGUUUUCUCUUACAAAUUAGUAGCAGCAGAUAUUGCUUCAAGCCUUCAACCUUGGCUUCAUCUGCGUCGGCGAGCGAUUCCUUGCCUCCUCUCAGCUCUGCGAGCCUUCUGCCUCCUCUGACUCUAUCCAGUACUGGUCCUGGUCCAAGCCACAAGUUGAUGUCAAGGGUUUCCCAGAAGAACCGAUCAAUCCGCUCGCAGCGAACAGCGAAGGCACGUCGGGGAAUAUUUACUUGUGGAAAGUUAACUUUUCUAAUGGAAAAACCGUUACCCUACGGGGAAUCCGCUACCGGUUACGGCAGGGAAUACCCGUUCGUGCUUUUUACGGUUUCAGGUACGGAGGAAACAAACGGGUUCAGUUAUGGAAAUGGCACAUCCAAACCCAAUCUGCCCUCGUUGCCAUCCCUAGCAGCAACAAAAGCAAACGGAAUACAAUGGGAGUUACUGCAAUAGUGAGAGGGAGGGAGAGAGAUUAAAGAUGAGUGAUCAGUUAAAGCUAUAAUUUUUUAAACAUGUUCUGCAAUAUGAAUCAUUCAGCUAUCACGAUAACAUGCUUGAAAUAAACAAAAUCACCAACAUUCAUGAUCA